AUUUGUGUCUACUCUGUAAUGGGAUAGGAUCCGAAGUCUCUUGAAGAACACUAAGGCUUUCAUGCACUUCUGUUAUUCAGUCACGUCCUCGUUGUAAAGAGUGGAUUGCAUGUGCCACUGUAUAUUCCAACUUUGCUUUACGGUUUAGUUCCAACCUUUUGGACGGAUGGCAAAACAGCAGAGCGAU
rnacentral:ribozyme from 1 species